UCAGUCGGCCGGACGGCCGCUUCCGCAACGUCGAAAGGCUGCGGGGGAGGAAAGUCCGGGCUCCAAUGACAUGCGGUGCCGGAUAACAUCCGGCGGGGGCGACCCCAGGGAAAGUGCCACAGAGAACGAACCGCUCCCCACUUUCGGGUGGGGCAGCAAGGGUGAAAAGGUGCGGUAAGAGCGCACCGCGGAUCCGGCAACGGAGACGGCAAGGUAAACCCCACCGGGAGCAAAACCGAAUAGGGACGGCAGCGCAGUAAGUUCGUUCGCGAACGAUAACACUGCAGGGUGAUGUCAAACCCGCUGUCCGGGUAGGUUGCUUGAGGCCGCAUGCAAAUGCGGUCCCAGAAGAAUGGCCGUCACGUAUCGCUGCGCGAGCGGCGGUGCCUUACAGAACCCGGCUUACAGGCCGGCUGAUACU
rnacentral:RNase_P_RNA from 1 species